rnacentral:rRNA from 1 species
AGCGAACGCUGGCGGCAGGCUUAACACAUGCAAGUCGAACGCCCCGCAAGGGGAGUGGCAGACGGGUGAGUAACACGUGGGAACGUACCCUUUGGUUCGGAAUAACUUGGGGAAACUCAAGCUAAUACCGGAUAAGCCCUUAUGGGGAAAGGUUUACUGCCGAAGGAUCGGCCCGCGUCUGAUUAGCUAGUUGGUGGGGUAAUGGCUCACCAAGGCGACGAUCAGUAGCUGGUCUGAGAGGAUGAUCAGCCACACUGGGACUGAGACACGGCCCAGACUCCUACGGGAGGCAGCAGUGGGGAAUAUUGGACAAUGGGGGCAACCCUGAUCCAGCCAUGCCGCGUGAGUGAUGAAGGCCUUAGGGUUGUAAAGCUCUUUUACCCGGGACGAUAAUGACUGUACCGGGAGAAUAAGCCCCGGCUAACUUCGUGCCAGCCGCCGCAGUAA